rnacentral:rRNA from 1 species
CGCUAUCAUCCUACGGGAGGCAGCAGUGGGGGAAUAUUGCACAAUGGGGGAAACCCUGAUGCAGCCAUGCCGCGUGUGUGAAGAAGGCCUUCGGGUUGUAAAGCACUUUCAGUAGGGAGGAAGGUAGUGUAGUUAACACCUGCAUUAUUUGACGUUACCUACAGAAGAAGCACCGGCUAACUCCGUGCCAGCAGCCGCGGUAAUACGGAGGGUGCGAGCGUUAAUCGGAAUUACUGGGCGUAAAGCGCAUGCAGGCGGCCUGUUAAGUCAGAUGUGAAAGCCCGGGGCUUAACCUCGGAAUUGCAUUUGAAACUGGCAGGCUAGAGUCUUGUAGAGGGGGUAGAAUUUCAGGUGUAGCGGUGAAAUGCGUAGAGAUCUGAAGGAAUACCAGUGGCGAAGGCGGCCCCCUGGACAAAGACUGACGCUCAGAUGCGAAAGCGUGGGGAGCAAACAGGAUUAGAUACCCUGGUAG